rnacentral:rRNA from 1 species
GACGAACGCUGGCGGCGUGCUUAACACAUGCAAGUCGAACGGAAAGGCCCUGCUUUUGUGGGGUGCUCGAGUGGCGAACGGGUGAGUAACACGUGAGUAACCUGCCCUUGACUUUGGGAUAACUUCAGGAAACUGGGGCUAAUACCGGAUAGGAGCUCCUGCUGCAUGGUGGGGGUUGGAAAGUUUCGGCGGUUGGGGAUGGACUCGCGGCUUAUCAACUUGUUGGUGGGGUAGUGGCUUACCAAGGCUUUGACGGGUAGCCGGCCUGAGAGGGUGACCGGCCACAUUGGGACUGAGAUACGGCCCAGACUCCUACGGGAGGCAGCAGUGGGGAAUAUUGCACAAUGGGCGGAAGCCUGAUGCAGCAACGCCGCGUGCGGGAUGACGGCCUUCGGGUUGUAAACCGCUUUCGCCUGUGACGAAGCGUGAGUGACGGUAAUGGGUAAAGAAGCACCGGCUAACUACGUGCCAGCAGCCGCGGUGAUACGUAGGGUGCGAGCGUUGUCCGGAUUUAUUGGGCGUAAAGGGCUCGUAGGUGGUUGAUCGCGUCGGAAGUGUAAUCUUGGGGCUUAACCCUGAGCGUGCUUUCGAUACGGGUUGACUUGAGGAAGGUAGGGGAGAAUGGAAUUCCUGGUGGAGCGGUGGAAUGCGCAGAUAUCAGGAGGAACACCAGUGGCGAAGGCGGUUCUCUGGGCCUUUCCUGACGCUGAGGAGCGAAAGCGUGGGGAGCGAACAGGCUUAGAUACCCUGGUAGUCCACGCUGUAAACGGUGGGUACUAGGUGUGGGGUCCAUUCCACGGGUUCCGUGCCGUAGCUAACGCUUUAAGUACCCCGCCUGGGGAGUACGGCCGCAAGGCUAAAACUCAAAGGAAUUGACGGGGCCCCGCACAAGCGGCGGAGCAUGCGGAUUAAUUCGAUGCAACGCGUAGAACCUUACCUGGGUUUGACAUGGAUCGGGAGCGCUCAGAGAUGGGUGUGCCUCUUUUGGGGUCGGUUCACAGGUGGUGCAUGGCUGUCGUCAGCUCGUGUCGUGAGAUGUUGGGUUAAGUCCCGCAACGAGCGCAACCCUUGUUCACUGUUGCCAGCACGUUAUGGUGGGGACUCAGUGGAGACCGCCGGGGUCAACUCGGAGGAAGGUGGGGAUGACGUCAAGUCAUCAUGCCCCUUAUGUCCAGGGCUUCACGCAUGCUACAAUGGCUGGUACAGAGAGUGGCGAGCCUGUGAGGGUGAGCGAAUCUCGGAAAGCCGGUCUCAGUUCGGAUUGGGGUCUGCAACUCGACCUCAUGAAGUCGGAGUCGCUAGUAAUCGCAGAUCAGCAACGCUGCGGUGAAUACGUUCCCGGG